AUUGAUUUGUCAGGUCGGUUUGGGUUUGAGAGGCGGUUAUACGGAAAUAAGCACACACCACACAGGCACGGCGGUAGCAGUCCAAUCCCUGAAUCCCACCGCUCAAUCUGAAUCCCCAUCCUCUGGACGCGCCGGAGCCUUGAGGAGCGGACGGUGCCGGAGCUACAGGAAGCCGCUGCGGCCCUCGCCGUGUAUCGCGCCGCCGGAUGAGGACGUGCUGCAGCGCGCGUCGCUGGAUGGGUCGUCCGCCGCUAUAGAGCUAGGUCUCCUACCUCGACCCUGCCAAGAUCGAGAAGAACCUGCCAAGAUUGAUAAGAGAAGAUGCAUGGCAUGGUUCUGUGUGACGUAGGAGUGGAUCAUCUAAGCUCCACCUCUUGAGUAUAUUGUGUAUUAUGGCCGAAUUAUGAUCUAUAUCAGGUGAGAAAAGCAGGUUCAGCGAUGUAGAUAAAUUCCAUCGGUGUAUUUCUAUGUUCUUGAAACAAAAAAACUUCUAAUUAGUAGUUUAGUUUACCUUACUUAUAAUGACACAAAAAUGCAGAAGACGAGAUGUGUAUAGGGAAGUUCAAAUUAUUAGCAUUCAAGAGCUCAUAGUGUUCAAUAUUGUUUGGUGCAUCUAUUGUAUAAACUGACGCAGAUAAGUUUGUAUGUAUGUUCAUCCAAUAAAAAAAUGAGAUUACUGAUGUUUUUUCGU